rnacentral:rRNA from 1 species
GUACGGGGGGGGGUAAGCGUUGUUCGGAAUUACUGGGCGUAAAGGGCGCGUAGGCGGCCACCGCAAGUCGACUGUGAAAUCUCCGGGCUUAACCCGGAAAGGUCAGCCGAUACUGCGGGGCUAGAGUGCAGAGGGGGCAACUGGAAUUCUCGGUGUAGCGGUGAAAUGCGUAGAUAUCGAGAGGAACACCUGCGGCGAAGGCGGGUUGCUGGGCUGACACUGACGCUGAGGCGCGAAAGCUAGGGGAGCGAACGGG